AUGCGGGAGCCCAGGACGCUGCAGCUGGAGUGGGGGCAGCCCCGGAUCCCAACACAGCCAGGGAACAGGAGGCAGCUGGGGCUUGGGAGUGCCUCAGUGCCCCUCAGCAGGGCCAGCCCUCCUCCCAGCGCUGCUUGGAGCCGUCCCUCCGUCUGUCCGCAGCACCGCAACAUCGGCCGGAUGAGCGCGGCGCCCGUUGCCAUAGCAACGCAGGUGUACCGCCUGGUGACUAACCGAGAGCUGAUCCCAUCACAGAAUGGCAGCCCGGAGUUGCCACGGCAACCGAGAUGCCGAAUUGGGAACCGUGUCAAUGGCACAGUGGAUCUCCUCUGGGACAUGGCUGCUGCCUUGUGCCAAAAUCCCUUGCCUGUCAGUGCACGGCUCUCACAUAAACUGAGUAGGCUCAGGCUGCUGCUCCUGGAACAGCCAGUAGGAUGUGGAAAGCUCUGUGUGCAGUGUGCAGCUGACACCUAACACUGAUCAGACUCAAUCGGGUGGUUCAAACCAUGCCAGUUUCCCAAAGAUGGGAUGGGCCCUUCCCAAAGAAGGCCAGGGAAAUAAAAUAUUAAAAUAUAGUGGUUUGGAGCUGCA
rnacentral:lncRNA from 1 species